CGUAGGGUGCAAGCGUUAAUCGGAAUUACUGGGCGUAAAGCGUGCGCAGGCGGUUUUGUAAGUCUGUCGUGAAAUCCCCCGGGCUCAACCUGGGAAUUGCGAUGGAGACUGCAAGGCUAGAAUCUGGCAGAGGGGGGUAGAAUUCCACGUGUAGCAGUGAAAUGCGUAGAGAUGUGGAGGAACACCGAUGGCGAAGGCAGCCCCCUGGGUCAAGAUUGACGCUCAUGCACGAAAGCGUGGGGAGCAAACAGGAUUAGAUACCCUGGUAGUCCACGCCCUAAACGAUGUCUACUAGUUGUCGGGUUUUAAUUAACUUGGUAACGCAGCUAACGCGUGAAGUAGACCGCCUGGGGAGUACGGUCGCAAGAUUA
rnacentral:rRNA from 1 species